rnacentral:tRNA from 1 species
GGCCUUAUAUUCUAUUUAAGAUAUAAAAUUGCAAAUUUUAAGAAGUAAUUUACUAAGGCUU